CAGUAGCCACGGUAAUACGGAGGGGGCUAGCGUUGUUCGGAAUUACUGGGCGUAAAGCGCACGUAGGCGGCUUGGUAAGUUAGAGGUGAAAGCCCGGAGCUCAACUCCGGAAUUGCCUUUAAGACUGCCGAGCUAGCAGGUGAGAGAGGUAAGUGGAAUUCCGAGUGUAGAGGUGAAAUUCGUAGAUAUUCGGAAGAACACCAGUGGCGAAGGCAGCUUACUGGCUCAUACUGGACGCUGAGGUGCGAAAGCGUGGGGAGCAAACAGGAUUAGAGACCCCUGUAGUCCCUGUCUCUUAUAC
rnacentral:rRNA from 1 species